rnacentral:hammerhead_ribozyme from 1 species
AUCUAGCUGACGAGUCUCGACUAGGACUAAACUCGGGUCCUCGAU